rnacentral:lncRNA from 1 species
CGCCCCUCUUGCGCUGGAGCUGCCGCAGCGCCCCCUGCCGGCGGAGCUGGCGCAGACCGAGGGACCCACCGCGCAGUGCUCAGAACCUGGGCUUUGGUUUUGACUGUUUACCCUUGAGCUGAAAUGCGGCAGUCAAGCUCCAUGUCUAUUGGUAGCGAGUGAUUCCUUGUUAAAGACAGGAGAAAGGAUUUCUCUAUGAUAAAUACAGGACUUACUGAAAAUUGAACUAGUCAAAGCCGGGUGUGGCAGUGCGCACCUGCAAUCCCACCACUCCAGGAGGCUGAGGCAGGAGGACCACAAGCGUGAAGCCCGGCUUUCAUUGGGAAACUUCGCGACUUACUGAGACCCGCUCUCGGAUUUCUUUAAAAAGGCAAAAGGGUGGGGGAUGUAGCUCAGUGCAAAGGGUCUGGGUUCAAACCCGCUACCAAAGCAAGAGACUUCAUCUUCCCAGGAAGAGGGAGACAAACUUCAUCUUGCAUCUCUGCCAAGUGUUAGGUCAUCUCGGUGCUCAGCGAGGCUGUGGCGCCGGAGUCGGGUUGCUGGGUCUCCCUGGAGAAUCUUCCGGGCCCGGGUCGGCGCAGGCUAACUGGGAAGCCAGCCCCGCGGCCCCGAGGCCACCACCACCCUGCUGUGGACACGGGACUGUUCAGCUCAGCCGGAGUGGGAUCUCGCAGGAGCAUUCGGGAGCCAUGGGCGGGCUAACUGGAAGUACAGUGGACCCUUGACUUAGGGACGUGAUCAGUUCCGGAGGGCUGGUUGUAACUCAAGUUGGUGUUCCCAGGACAGUGUGGCACAGUGGCUGAUGCUGGUGCCGAAGUCAGAGGAUCAGAGCUUCAGGCUGGGACAUAUCUGGAUCCUGCUGCAGCAAAUAUUCACAGUAUUUCUACAGACAGCCAGGACAGAGCUUUGAACAGGCGGUUCACCGAAUCCAGCAGUGUGCUGGUCCUGGCUUACCAACCAGCUGCUUGGAAAAGAGCAGAAGUCCUCAGUUACAGUUUUGGAGAGUUCAUGGUGGAAGGGCAAGACCCGUCUCUGGCGCUUCAGCAUGGGCGGAAGCAGAGGCCUUCGUUCUCUUAUCCCACUCCAGCGAGACUUCCCCCCGGACCUCAUCUGAGUCCAUCCUGCCUCGGUCAUCUGGGCUUCAGACAGAUCAUCAGACUAUAUCUGUCAAAGAUCUCAGUGAAUGUGGAAAGUGUCGUGAAAAUGAGAAGCCGUUCAAAACAAGCAGAACAGAAUAGGCUCCAGGGAGCCCACCUGGAAACCUGACACAUGUCCCCAUGAACUGAUGAUGCCUGUGUAUGAUGCCCACCCACCCUGUGAGGACAGAAAGGUCACUGGCUGCAAGGCAAGGAUGCAGGCAAGGGGGACACUGGAACUCAGUCAAGGAGGAAGAGUAAGCUUGCAGCCAACGGGGAGUCCUUCUGCCAAGAGGGCUGCUUACAUGGUGGUUGAACCCCAGCAGAGAGUCUGAGCUGGUUGCCAAAUGCCCAGGCAAUUAGGUUUGGGGUCAUUAGUAACCAGCCAAAGAAAAAGGCCCCUUCAUUUAAAAACUGUAAACUUCUGAAUAAACUCCAGUGCCACUCUGCUAAAGAAAAUGCUAACUCUAAUCAUCUGCCAAGUUCAGAGCGCCCAGAGUCAGAUCCCAAGAGGCAUGAGCACCAAUAGUGAGGGCCUUUCCUAUAAUGCCUUCUUCUCCUAGCACAGGCUUGGAAGCAAGGAUGCUGGGAGAAGGGAGGCAGAGUCAGGAGGGAGAGCAAAAGCAAGCCUCACAUCCCCUCCUGCCUAUUCCAGCACAUGAACCGUCCAGGUCUAAAGGGUUCAAGCUGGGGGAGAGGAAAAUUUGUGUUAAAGGGAAGUUGGAUAUGUUGAUGAUUUUUAUGCUGCUGGAUAUUUUAAUUGUUCAAAUAUAACUUCUUGGUACAGAGUAACUGGAAUCAUCAUGAAAAACAUGACAAACUUACAAUUAUGGUUUAAGAUCUCAUCCAAGCGACAAGAAGAAGCACAUUCUUAGAUUAGGUUUAAAGGCGAGAGAGAGGUUUAGAGAGAGAGAGAGA